AUUUUGAAUUCCUCGCCCAUUUUCAGGUGUGGAUGGUUUUUUGGGGAAACAGAACAGAAGGUCAAUUUCAGAGAGAAGCGAGAGGGCUCUGUAAUUUCUUGAUCUUGAUAACAUGGAGGCCAGGCGCUGUGCAAGAGAGGGAAAUUAGCAUCUUUUUUGUAGUGGAGUUGUUGCAAUGGAUUACCCCGGUGGGCUUUCAGAAGGCCUUCCUUCAUGGUUACAUACCAAGUUUUGACUCGCUGGUUGAUGACGUCAUUGAGCAUUACUCAAAAUUUAAAGACUGCCUAUGAUGUCAUCUCUUACAAACAUAAACCCCGUUUACAGACCGCCCUGGAGUUGCUGAAUGCCACCAAAGAAGUAGAGGGACUACUAGCUAGAAAAGUUAGAGGUUGAAGCUUCUACAUACAUAAACAUGUGGCAUCAAUGAAGGUUCAAGAGUUAUAAAAGUAUGUGUUAAUUUUGUUUUAUACUUAACAUUUAAGUUGGAGAUAAUUAUAAUUUAUUUGUAUUUUAACUAUUUAAGUAGUUCAGUUUGGUGGUUCUUUUUUGACUUGAUGUCACUUUUUUUCUUUUAUAUCUUUGAAAUAGUACAAGCAGAUAAACUAAUAAUGUACAAUGUCAGUGCUAAUGUAGAAUUAUUUAUGUGUAUUGUAAAUAAUAAAGUUGUAAUUGUGACG